CUGGAGCAGGGCCAGAGCUGCAGCCCAUGAAGAGCAGCCUGCAGUGGAGCAGCAGGGCUGGGGGAGCUGCUGAAGGGUGGGCCUCGUGAUACAGAGCUGCGUUGGAGCAGUGCCUGUAGAACUGCAGCCUGUAGGAAGCCUACACAGGAUCAGAGUGGGAAGGACAGCAUCCCAUGGGAGGGACCCCAGCUGGAGCAGGAGCAGCGUGUGACCAUGGAAGAGCAGCAGAGAUGAGGUGAUAUGAACUGACCACAGCCCCCAUUCUCCUGCGUUGCUUGGCGGGGGAGGUUUGAAGUUGACCCUGGGAAGAAAAGGGCUGAGGGGAAGGUGGUUUUAGUAUGCUUUCAGCUCUCACUGCUCUAGUUGAUUAUUAAUUGGCAAUAAACAGUAAGCCUUCCCCAACUUGAGUCUGUUUUCACCUUGAUGGUAACUGGUUGAGUGAUCUCCCUGGCCCUAUCCCUACCCACAAGCUUUUUUCUAACUUUCCAUCUUGCUGAGGAGAGGGAGGCAUGGUGAGCACCUGGACCAGCCGAGAUCAACUCACCAUUCUUCUACGUGAAUGAACUGUAAUUACAAAUGCCGUGUUUAUGCUCAUUUCACUGCAGGUUGGAAAAGCACAUCCCAUAAUUUUCUAAGUGUGAUACUUUAAAAAUAUCAGAACUCCAAUGCGUGUUUCUCCUGAUUAUGUGCUAUCAACAACAGUCCAUCAAAUAAAAUCCUCCACAUUUCAACCAGCAUCUCUACAGCUGUUUUGACAGAUGUCUAAAUGUCUCCUACUAACAAAUGCAACUAGGUAGGGCAGUUGACACUAUAGAGCUUAAAUAUGCCUACAUACAAGAUGACGGCUAACCCAUCUUUCUACAAGGUUCUCCAGUUCUGCAAAGUGUUAUAUUAAGCAGGCUGGGAAAUACAGCAAAUGGAAGUUGGUAUCAGCAAUCCUGGCAUUUUGUGUACGUUCAAUUACCAUCCAGCUCUGGAAAACAGGACUUCUAUGGUGCACACUUAUUUUCUGCAUGUCUAUAAUAUGCAAACUGCAGGCUGAUCUACUACAGUAAUAAAAGCAAACUGAAAAGGUUUUGUACGUUGGCCAAAGAGAGGAAGAUGCUCCUCCAAUGAAGCAGGAGGUGGGGUUUUAUUAGCUGACAAUACAGCACUUGGAACUGUGGAGUAAGGAACUCUGCUUUUGCAAGGUAUGCAUUUUACAGAUGUUAAGCAGUUUUUGAACGAACGUGCUUUGAUUAAUUGGAACAGUAGGGAUUUUUUGCUUUCAACAACUCUGGUGAUUCUAUUUUUCCUCCCUCCUCUAUGCAGGUUUUCCAGCUGUACAAUUCAUUUUUAAGGUCAGCUAACUCACUGGGAAGAUUAGACUUGGACUCUGACAAAAGGUGAGUGAUGCUGACCUUUAAUACAAGUUACAAAGCUCACUUAAAAAAUGUAAAUGUGGUGGAACCUUACUCUGAAUAUGUAUAACGCGUGAUUUUUGUCUGAAAGGUUAUUAAGAUGAAAGUGUUUUUGUUGAGUCCGUAUGUCCAUUUUCAGCAUAUUUAUGUGUACGCAUUUCCGUCGGCUGUUUGAGGACUCCGUAAUAAAUGAGAAAGCUCCGAGAACGCUUUUGUCUUUCCUUCUGUAGGAAUGGCUGAGCAUCCAAACGCAUUAAUCAGCGAGAACAACAGCCCGGAUCUGUAAUUAUGAAAUGUCCUGCUUUGGCUGACACUAUAAUUGGAACAAACUCCACAAGCUGCCAGUUCAGACCUUAUUUGGUCUGAAUCACUCGUUGGAGUUUUCAGAUGUGAACUGUGAUUUCUAAAUAAUGUGACUUGUGAAGUAGAGAGAGGAAUACUUUAAAUUAUUGGUGUAUUCUGGAAAGUACUUAAAAGACAGCAAAUUCCUUCAUUUUGGAUUAGUUUUAGUUGUGUGUGAAGAGCCUCAUUUAUAAGCGUAAUUAAAUAACACUGAUUUCAAAAGUCAGUUUGGCUCUUGGAAUUUUCAGUGGAGCUCACCACAGGUUUCAAGCUAUUGUGGAUUUCAUCACCUUGGUACACGGGCUCUGCACAGGGCUGGAACAGAAGGAAUGGACAAAGUGUUCACCCAGAGCAGCAAUCUGCUCUUUUUGGUUCCAGUUCUGGUCUGUUAACAGGAAUUUGAGAAAACUGAGGCUAAAUCACAUACAUCGUGUAUGUGAAUCCACACAAGGCUCUUCUCGCCCACAUUUCCUAAAGGAUUGUGACGCUCGUUUAUAAAGAAACUAACUCAAAUGUAUGGCUCGCAUGGCUCCUUACUGCAAUCUGCUGAUGGGCUGUCUGAGCACACGGCUGUGCGGUAGCUUCUCACUGCAUGCUCCGUGAGUACGGCGGUGGCUGUAAUCACCCCUGGAUUAAGUGACGAGGCUGUUGGAGACACUCAUUAAAUCCAAGAAGUUGUAGCAGCAAAUCCAACAGAUGAAAGCUCAGGACACCAUUAACCUUUUAUUGAUGUUGUAGGCCUCUCAUAUUUUAUGGCAUCCUUCUUCAAAAGGAAGACUUAGCAUUAGCACUUCAAAUGAAAACUGUAGGAAUCUAAAAAUCUGCAAGAAGCCCUUCAAAUUCCUGGCACAGCUUUGCUUUCAAUCUUUUACAGAUUCUAAUGCAAAUCCCGUGCAGAACUGAUUUGAGAUAAUGCAAUAUUCUUUCCCAGACAGAGAAGCAGUUUUGGUAGUAUGGCUGCUGUUUUCUAAGGAUCUCUUUUUUCAUCUAUAGCCAUCAAAAUGUCACAGGAAGGUUACAGCGAUCGUUGCUGCUCUUCCAACAUGCAGCCAAAGUGAAUGGCAUGGAAAAAAACGAAAUAAAAAUUGAUGCCAUUUUGCUUGCAAAGUAGAAACGUGUCGGAUCAGAUAGAAAGUUUCAGCAAGCUGGGAAAGCGAAAACCCUUUUCUGUAUGGAUUUUAAUUACAAGGCACACAAGUUCUGAAUAGGCAUCGUGGUUCCUAAAUCUCAGAUCAUAUUUCUCUGCACAAACAAUAACCUCAGCAUUAAAAGAGCUCAUUGCCAAAAAAUGAGAAGUUAUCCUUCAGAACAAAGCUUCAAAGUUCAGUAAAAAAAAAAGUUUCAGAAUUUAUAGGGAUAAUAAAGUUUUAAAGGCAAUCAUGAAUUAGAGAUGGCCCCAAACCUUUAAGAGCAAGUUAAGAAGCAAAUACCUGCCAACUCAGAGCAAAACAAGGCCAGCAGGCCCCAUGUUUAUUAUACCAGCCAUUAACAGUAAAAGCUGAAGCUGGAUACAGACUUCCUUAAAGAUCAAGAUACCUGGCUGAGACAUAGCAUGACCAAAACAGCAGUGAGACAGCUGGGACUCAAGCAGAACUGGGGAAACAUCAGCAAAGGGAGAACUUCCCUUCAGUGUUUGCAGCAGCAGCAGCUGCUCGUGAGCAGUUAACCCCCCUCCCCCUUGUUUUCCUUACCAGCCUUAAGAAGCUGUUGAACUUGAACCUCAAUGAAAUGCAUCCUACUAAGAAUUGCUAAUAGAGGAAAUGUAGUGAAAUUCCAAUCCUGUGUCUGGAACCAUGGCACAAUGCAAUACUGAAAAGGGGAGCACAGUAAAUGUCUCUACUGCUGUUACCUAAGAUCAGACUUUCUGCAAACUGCGAUGAGACUGUUCUCACCCUCUAGUCUGUAUUCUGCCCAUGGUGUUUGGGCGGGUAUGGAAAUGGUAUGCAGAAUGAAUGAAUGAAUGAACGAAUGAACUCCAAUUUUCCCCCAGCAGGAACCAUGAAUGUGCAGACCGUUUCUUCCUGGUCGUGUAGAAGAUACGAAGGUACCCUGUGUUACACCAGGCACUGUUGUUAUCUGGGCACUCAAGGAGCAAAGCCAACCUCCCAGCAGAGGGAAUCUCAGCGUUGGGUCCUCUAGAGACAUUUUCACCAAUGCAUACACCCACAUAUCUGACCACAGCCACGUAUGCCACUGUCACCACAUCACCACAUCACCCUGCCGCUGGACAAAUCGGUUCUCUGCUCUGUGCUUAUUACAAGACAAGGGUGAGUACCUUCUGAUCUCUUCUGCAAGUCCCUGUCAGCUGCUUCCUCAGUCUGCUGGACCUAGGACAAGGGCUUCAGGCUGAGCUCACUAACCG
rnacentral:lncRNA from 1 species